AUUUUAAUUUUACAUUUUGUACUUUUACUUGCCUUCCGUUGUUCUAAAAUGGUGGCAGCGAAGUCUAGCGUGAUUUUAGAUACUGGAACAGGGUGAAACUAGACGAAAGAGGAUUUUGGAAAAUGAUGUUAAUAUAAUUCUAAAAACACGAUGAUGAAAUACGAUGAGCACGAUAAAGGGAUGAAGUCUCGUACACGGAUAUCAGUGGAAACCGAGAUAAGAUUCGAGACAUACAAAUAAUUAAGAACAAGAUAUCGAAACAAUUAUAAUCCUAGAGUUUAUGAUAAUAGGGGGUAUAAUGGGCCAGGACCGUAUAAUAAAUAUUAUAGACAUCAGAAAGAAUCGAGAUACAUACCUAGAUACAAUAACAGAACAAUAAUCAGUCAUACAACAAUAGAUUUGACGUAAAUAAAAUGGAUGGACAAGGCAAAUGAUGAUUACAAAUUACGAUAUACCUUAAUGAUUUACCAAUAGUCAUGCAGAUCAACACUGGGUCGCGUUAUUCAAUAUUACCGAUUAAUAUUGCUAGAAAGAUAGGAGUUAAUGUCUUGAAUAAAUCGGAUACGAAACUGACUGGUUAUGAUGAAAAAAAUAGAGGUGUUAGGAAUCGUUAAAAUAAAAACGAGAUAUGAAGACAAAACUCAAAACUUAGAUACUUUUAUAGUCCAAAAUGACAAGAUUGCAAUUCUGGGAAGGACGUGGAUAAAUGUUUUUGGAAACAUACCUAAUAAAUUUGUAAAUAUAAUCGAGGAAAAUAAGUUGAUAGUAAAAAUUAUUAAGGUACAUAUUACAAUA